GUUAGUCUGUAUCCGCAGAAAGAACAGGAGGACUUGUGACACCUUAGAGACUAACACAUUUAUUUGAGCAUAACACCCACUAUUUCGUGUUCUCUGUGUAUAUAAAAUCUCCCCACUGUAUUUUCCACCGCAUGCAUCCGAUGAAAUAGCUCAGGAAAGCUUAUGCUCUAAUAAAUUUGUUCAUCUCCAUGGUGCCACAAGUCCUCCUGUUCUUUUUAAAAAGUGUCUCAGUGUCAUGGGAUGGGUUAUGUGUAAAAGAUUUUGAAAGAGAUGUAUGGGGGGGAUUGUUUGUUGCUGUUAGUAAAAAUAACAUACAGGAUUAUGUGUUAAAAACCUUUUUGUUUCUGUGUAUUGGCAGACUUACUGUUAUCCUACAAGAAGAAAUAUUGAAGGAGACGUUGCUUAAAGGCAUCAAGAAAUUUCCCUCUGAAUGAGCUACAGUUUCCAGGCGUGGGAACAAGAGGAUCAGACCCCCCAAUUUUGAACAGCCUGCUCAACUAAACUCUUCAUUAAACAGAGCAAACCACCUUUAAAAAGGGCCAAGAAUUCUUCCUCGGAAGCAGCUACAGUUUCCAGGGGUGGGAACAAGGGGAUCAGGACCCCCCCCAUUUUUGAACAGCCCUGCACAUCCAGAGCCAAGAAACCUACCUCUGAAGCAGCUGCAGCUUCCAGGGAUGUUGGCAUCUUGGGCAGGCUUCUCCUUCAGCCAGUCCCCCUGCUCCCUGCUGCAAGCUAGAGGGGAGCCGCUGCAGCCCCUGCUGAGUGCCAGCUUAGGGGGAGGGGAAGCACGGAGCCCAGCUGCGUCGGCAGCCGGGCGGAAGGAGGAGGGAGGACAAGGAGAAAAAUGUGACAUUCUGGGAGUGAGUGAUGGCAGCAGAUGUCAAUGCAGGAUCUCUGGGAAUCUGGCAGAGGAUGCCUUGCUUGUUAAAUCCUUGGAUCCUUUACAUUUGGGCUCUAACGAAUCUUGCGAGCUGGAAAAAAUCCACAGAGCAGCCCUUGUAUCACUCAUAAUAGCUUGUUCUUUUUUUAAUAAAAGUAACUGAU